AACGAACGCUGGCGGCAUGCCUAACACAUGCAAGUCGAACGAGACCUUCGGGUCUAGUGGCGCACGGGUGCGUAACGCGUGGGAACCUGCCCUUAGGUUCGGAAUAACUCCCCGAAAGGGGUGCUAAUACCGGAUAAUGUCUUCGGACCAAAGAUUUAUCGCCUUUGGAUGGGCCCGCGUUGGUUUAGCUAGUUGGUAGGGUAAAAGCCUACCAAUGCGACGAUCCAUAGCUGGUCUGAGAGGAUGAUCAGCCACACUGGGACUGCGACACGGCCCAGACUCCUACGGGAGGCAGCAGUGGGGAAUAUUGGACGAUGGGCGAAGGCCUGAUCCAGCAAUGCCGCGUGAGUGAUGAAGGCCUUAGGGUUGUAAAGCUCUUUUACCCGGGAUGAUAAUGACAGUACCGGGAGAAUAAGCUCCGGCUAACUCCGUG
rnacentral:rRNA from 1 species